rnacentral:rRNA from 1 species
GAUGAACGCUGGCGGCGUGCCUAAUACAUGCAAGUCGAGCGAACGGACGAGAAGCUUGCUUCUCUGAUGUUAGCGGCGGACGGGUGAGUAACACGUGGAUAACCUACCUAUAAGACUGGGAUAACUUCGGGAAACCGGAGCUAAUACCGGAUAAUAUUUUGAACCGCAUGGUUCAAAAGUGAAAGACGGUCUUGCUGUCACUUAUAGAUGGAUCCGCGCUGCAUUAGCUAGUUGGUAAGGUAACGGCUUACCAAGGCAACGAUGCAUAGCCGACCUGAGAGGGUGAUCGGCCACACUGGAACUGAGACACGGUCCAGACUCCUACGGGAGGCAGCAGUAGGGAAUCUUCCGCAAUGGGCGAAAGCCUGACGGAGCAACGCCGCGUGAGUGAUGAAGGUCUUCGGAUCGUAAAACUCUGUUAUUAGGGAAGAACAUAUGUGUAAGUAACUGUGCACAUCUUGACGGUACCUAAUCAGAAAGCCACGGCUAACUACGUGCCAGCGGCCGCGGUAAUACGUAGGUGGCAAGCGUUAUCCGGAAUUAUUGGGCGUAAAGCGCGCGUAGGCGGUUUUUUAAGUCUGAUGUGAAAGCCCACGGCUCAACCGUGGAGGGUCAUUGGAAACUGGAAAACUUGAGUGCAGAAGAGGAAAGUGGAAUUCCAUGUGUAGCGGUGAAAUGCGCAGAGAUAUGGAGGAACACCAGUGGCGAAGGCGACUUUCUGGUCUGUAACUGACGCUGAUGUGCGAAAGCGUGGGGAUCAAACAGGAUUAGAUACCCUGGUAGUCCACGCCGUAAACGAUGAGUGCUAAGUGUUAGGGGGUUUCCGCCCCUUAGUGCUGCAGCUAACGCAUUAAGCACUCCGCCUGGGGAGUACGACCGCAAGGUUGAAACUCAAAGGAAUUGACGGGGACCCGCACAAGCGGUGGAGCAUGUGGUUUAAUUCGAAGCAACGCGAAGAACCUUACCAAAUCUUGACAUCCUUUGACAACUCUAGAGAUAGAGCCUUCCCCUUCGGGGGACAAAGUGACAGGUGGUGCAUGGUUGUCGUCAGCUCGUGUCGUGAGAUGUUGGGUUAAGUCCCGCAACGAGCGCAACCCUUAAGCUUAGUUGCCAUCAUUAAGUUGGGCACUCUAAGUUGACUGCCGGUGACAAACCGGAGGAAGGUGGGGAUGACGUCAAAUCAUCAUGCCCCUUAUGAUUUGGGCUACACACGUGCUACAAUGGACAAUACAAAGGGCAGCGAAACCGCGAGGUCAAGCAAAUCCCAUAAAGUUGUUCUCAGUUCGGAUUGUAGUCUGCAACUCGAUUACAUGAAGCUGGAAUCGCUAGUAAUCGUAGAUCAGCAUGCUACGGUGAAUACGUUCCCGGGUCU